AGAGAGCUGCGAACUGAGAAGC
rnacentral:miRNA from 1 species